AUAGAUGCAAUGCUAGGGUUCUUAAAAAAAAUCAUAUUUGUUUAAAAAAAAAAUUAUUUUAAUUAUGAAAAAUGUAAGACCUACAAUGCCUAUUUAUAUUCUCUAUUCCUAAUACCACCUGUAGAUGGCGCCAUAGCUUUUGGACAUUAUUGGGUUUCUCUGCAGCUAAAGAAUGGACUUCAACAAUUUAUUUAUUUAUUUUUGUGUGUAAAUUGAUGCAAACCUAGGAUGACAAUGUUAUACAUGUAUACACGGAAAAACAUAAAAUAAAAAAUAUUUGGAAGAUUUAUGACGUUGAUGACCGUUGAAACGCACGUCAUCACGUCAGGCCAGCUGUGAGGGAGGAAAGUCGAAGCAGCUCGAGAAAGUUGGCGCUUUUAUCAGAUCGUUUGUUUGGAGUCUCUGUUUGUUCCAACCAUUGUGUUCCUUCAUGCUCCUCCAGAGACUACUAUCCGGAUUGUCCGUGCCAGUGUUGUGACUCUUGCAUCUUUCACUGUGUGAUGUUGUCCGGGGCCCGAGGGUGGCAAUUGCAUCAGAGGGAGAAGACUUCACAGUGCCUCCCUAUACAUGGAUGUCAGCUGACGUCAAUCACUUGUCUUCCGCCAUUUUGAGGACCUGAAGUGGUCGCAAAAGAACUAGAAGCUAUGCCUUCAAUAUGCUGUGAGCAUCAAAAUCGCUAUUUUAACAACACUAAGAAGGCUCAACACAACAUGAUAUUUUGCUCGAAGUAUCGCCUAUGUCUCUACACGUGAACUCGAGCAUUGAGAACAUUGUUUGUGAACACAGAGUUAACUAAAAAGAAUGUUUUGAACAACUCACUUUGGAUGAUUUGGCGUCCGCUCGCCGCUUUCUUCUCAGUCAAGAUGUAUCGAACUCCAAUUGCGACGUAAGGAGGGAGGAGAGUAAAGAUGAUAUCUCCUAAAGCAUAGUUCCUUAAAAAAGUCGUUGUUUUGUUGCAAGUGAAAAACAAUAUUGACCUUCUAGUUGAAAAAGGAGCCUUAUAUGAGAUUCAUUCAUUCGCAUUCGGAAAUCGAUUAUAUACGUCUGGCAGAGAUGACGAGCGGACACCAUAACAGCCAAAGUCAGUUGUACAAAACCUUUCUUUUUAGUAAACUCUGUGUACAAAAACAAUGUUCUCAAUGCCCGCGUUCAUGUGUAGAGAUCCAGGUGAUACUUCGAGCAAAGUUUCAUGUUGUGUCGCGCCUUCUUAUGUUGUAAAAUAGUGGUAGUUCGGUAGCAGCGGACAGCGGCUGGAAGAACGCAUCAGGGAUCGAGAAGGCAUAACACCCUAACCAAGAUAUAUUUUUUUAAAGUAGCGUUUAUUUUCAUGACAGUCAAGAUGCGACAUGUUGUCUUUCGUAGCUUUUUACUGUAUCCGUAAGAAUCAUAGACAGUAAAAGAUAAGAAAUCCGUAAGUCGUAGCAAGGUAGCCAAUGCUUGUCAAUAGCCUACUGGUACUCGGAAGGUCCUCAAGAUGGCGGCAUGACGUAAAAGGUCACAUGACUGAAAUCUAUCUAUACUGCAGGGACAACCUUGCAGUCAUAUGCAAAGGAUUUGCUGAAAUUUCUUUCAUCCUGCCCCCAGCUGAAAUCGAAAAUUGAAAAAAUGAAGGCAGCAAACAAGCUGUUGCCUAUAAAAAAACAAAUUUAGGGGUUAAUUAUUUUCAAAUAAUUAAAUUGAUGUUCUUUUGUUAAAUUGUUCAUUCAUCGUUAGUUGUUUUGACAGUUUCUUGUUAUUCUUUUAAAAUUGUUAGUAUUUAAUAUGUUAUAGUUUGGAUAAAUAUUUUUGUUUUAAAUAAACUUGUUUUGGGUUAAAUUAAGGUGUUUCUACUAUGCUUUUAAAUUUGUAAUUUAGUUCUUUGUUGAUAACUUUGGCUGAAAUUAGGUUUAUCUACACCAGUACUCUAGUAUUGAAUUUACCCUAUAACUACACAGAACAAGGGGGUAACAAGUGCCACUUUAAUUUACAGCCCGCAGAUGUCGUACUUACUCUGUAACUACGUGAAACAAAGGUGUAACAAGUGCCAC